rnacentral:rRNA from 1 species
AACGAACGCUGGCGGCAGGCCUAACACAUGCAAGUCGAACGCCCUAGCAAUAGGGAGUGGCAGACGGGUGAGUAACGCGUGGGAACCUUCCCUGUGGUGCGGAAUAACUCGCCGAAAGGCGUGCUAAUACCGCAUAAGCCCGCAAGGGGAAAGAUUUAUCGCCAUAGGAUGGGCCCGCGUAGGAUUAGCUAGUUGGUGAGGUAAUGGCUCACCAAGGCGACGAUCCUUAGCGGUUUGAGAGAAUGACCAGCCACACCUGGGACUGAGACACGGCCCAGACUCCUACGGGAGGCAGCAGUGGGGAAUCUUGGACAAUGGGCGCAAGCCUUGAUCCA